rnacentral:misc_RNA from 1 species
UGGUUCUGGCAUCGAUGAAGAACGCAGCGAAAUGCGAUAAGUAAUGUGAAUUGCAGAAUUCAGUGAAUCAUCGAAUCUUUGAACGCACAUUGCGCCCGCCAGUAUUCUGGCGGGCAUGCCUGUUCGAGCGUCAUUUCAACCCUCAGGCCCCCCGCGGCCUGGUGUUGGGGCUCUUCCUGCGGCAACGCAGGGCCCCUAAAGACAGUGGCGGACCCGCCGCGGCUCCGAGCGCAGUAGUUUCACGCCUCGCUAUGGAGUACCCGCGGCGGGCUUUCCGGCCGUAAAAGCCCCGCGGACCGGAAACGGACUACGGAACCCCAAACAAGGUUGACCUCGGAUCAGGUAGGAAUACCCGCUGA